CUCACUUCAUUUUCCAUACCAUCAACUUCAGAGCCUGAACUGUCUUCAAACAAAUUACUAAAGGCAACAUGAUAACCUGGCAGAAUUGUUUUAACUUCAGUUGUCUUUCUCCUUUUGAAGUUAAAUCCCCUCUGCUCUUAUCAGAUUAUUUUAGUAGAUCAUAUGUGAUGUUUUAUUGGUUUUGUUGUUCUAUUUCAGUAUGAACAUUUUGGCUUAUUCUAAUGAGAGGUGAUGCAGAUUUGCUAACGACAUGAAUAAUUAUAAAUGUAAACAUUAGCUGGGUAUGUGACUGCUGGUAGAAUGCCUCAUUCUACCAGAAGUGGAAAACAAACCCCAUGGAAGGCAACAAAGAGAAAAAAUGACAACUAUAAUCAAAGUCUUUCUUCCCUUCUGGCAACUUAUAUGCAGACAGCACCUAAUGCUGAGCACAUGGGCAAAUGCUAUUCAACUUUAUUCUCACCCAGUGUGUGAAGAAGUGAGUUACAAAAAAUGCUUUUUACAGUGCAUAUUUAUUCAAAGCUGGCAAAAAGUUGACCCUGCUCUCCUCCUCCCAAUUCCUACUUAAGCCAAACCAAUGCAAGAACCACAUGGAUAAGCUGACAAGUAUGGAAGGAAUGAUGGAAGCCCACCGGAUGAAGCAGGCAGUGACCCUUCUGGAGACCACAGAACUGUUCCCAUUAAGCAAAGAUCAGAUAAACACUACUGAUUCCCUGAAUGAUACCUUUCUUACUCAAAAUGAUGAGAGUACUUUAUCUUGGGGUGCCUCAGGCAGCACAACUGCUCUCAUUCUUUCUAGGCUUUCUAUGACUUUUGCAGCCAUAAUACUUACGUUUAUAUGUUCCCGUUUUCCAUUCAAUCCUGCCUGCUAAAAAAACACAUCUUUACUGGUUUGACUUUAUUGGUUCCUAUUUUUUCUUUCUCUCAUUAGAAUUAAAGACUGUUAGAGACAGGUCUGAUAUUUCAGAGGUCUGGCUUUGGCAAGCUUCUUCUUUAUAGUGUCUUGGAUUGAUCGGAAGUUGCAUAUUAAGCUUAUCUGUGACCACAAAAAGUAAAAUAGAAAUGAGGCUCAGGACUGCCUUAAAAUAUCCAUUUAGAACAAUAGUCCUGGCAAGUGUGGCUCUACACCUGUUCAGGAAGUGCUGAGAACUAGAGAGAUCGUCCCACACUUGAAACCGCCUUUGCAAAAUUGUAACUGAGGAAGUUAUGACAGUGAAAGAAAUCAGAUCUAACCAAAUCUAUCUUGCUUCUAACUCUUAAGCUGUCCUUGCUCAUUCCCGAUCAUUGGCUUAACUAACUUUGGGAAGAAAUACAGUUCAUGGUUUGACUCUGAAACAAAAUUGGUAAUAGCCCUUUCCUGAAAAGACCCCUUCUUGCCUGGGGUCCAAUUUGCCUUUGUAGGACUAACAAAUUAGCUCCAAAAUUAGAAAUUAUAAUUUCUGGGUAGCGCAGUCUCUGGCUCCAAGAGUCUGAACCUCCUCAAAUUGCUCUUGGGGAUAACAUCACUAUUGUAAAACCAAAGAUCAGUGCUUGAGACAUUUGGCAGCCCUUGCAGCUGACACCAGUAAUUUGGCUCAACUAAUUUUGCCAUCCCACCUAGAAAGAGAUAACAGCAACAAAACCUCAUUUUGACCCCCUAUGAUUCCAUCUCAAUCCAGACCAAUCAGUAUUCCUCACUUCCUAAGCCCCUACCUCCGAAAUUGUCUUUAAAAACUCUGAUCCCUGAAUGCUCAGGGAGAUUCAUUUGAGUAAUAGCAAAACUCCAGUCUCCCACACAGCUGGCUUUGCAUGAAUUACUUUUUUGCCAUUAUAAUUCCCCUGUCUUGUUAAAUCGACUCUCUUCAGGCAGUGGGCAAGGUGAACCCACUGAGCAGUUGCACACUCAGCAGCCCACAGGAGCAAUGAGUGGGCUGGAAUGGUAAGGGCAUAUGCAUUGUGCUAUGAAUGCUGAUGACCAGGGCCUGGUGGAAGGUACAGGCCUAGCUCCAGGGGACGGCAGCUAGUCAGUACCACUGUCAUUAAUUAGAAAUGCAGUCAACUGUCAUCAAUUAGAAAUGCAGGCCCCAGUUGUCCUCUGUUCCACAUUUUUAAAAAGAAAAAGAAAAAGAAAAUUUUCCAUCCAAACUCCUGAUAAAAAAGAAUUGGCUUACAUUUAAUUAACUAUAAGCCAAUUGAGAAGUGAAAUCUUAGUUUUUCUUACUAACAUGAUGAAUAAUUUCUCAAUAAUUGAGUAACAAUAAUCUUGUUAGAAGUCUAACAUGUAAUUCUAAUACACAGGGAAUAGAGCUAUGACAGAACUAUAUAAAUUAUCUAACAAUUAUUUUAAGAAAAAAUGGAGCUCAUUUUUGGCCUAGGAAUGUUUAUUAGAGGACACAUGACAUAAACUCCCUAGACUGAGAGAAAAAAAAAAGUCAGCUCUGUGCCUUCUUGUCCAAACUCCCUAGGAGAAAGGGUUAGGGCACUUUUUUUGUAAAGCGGUUUUGCAGGCCAUGUGGUCUCUGUUACGACUGCUUAAGUCUGUAGCAUAAAAUCAGCAAUGAAUUAUAUGUAAAUCAAUAUGCAUGGUUGUAUCUCAAUAAAACGUUUAUUUAUGAAAACAGGCCUUGCCCACUUUGGCUCACAGGCAGUGGUUUGCUGGCCCCCUACAUUAAAGGAGGGCUGGAGUGCCUCAGCUGGACUUCCAGCUAAGCGGUUUUCAAAAGGGAGUUUAGUCUUUGUGUGAAUUGCUUAAAUCGAAGGGUGAACACAAACUACAGCCAACAGACAGUUCAAGUGAAAACCUGGAGACAUCAAGUCUGACUUUGGGUCUAAAACUUAGGUAUAUAACAGAGGAAAAGAGCAAAAUGUUAGAAACCAAACAAAUGUGUGAAAGAAGUGACUAAUGAGAAACAGGAAUGGAUGAGGCAGGAAGUACCUAUGCUCAUUUUGAAUAACAACAGGGAUGAAAUGUGGUUUUCUUAGCAGACCCAAAGAGGCAGACACUGUCUUUAUUCCCUACUAUGAAUAUUACUAGGUUACAACAAGGAAUAAUUUCCAUUUUUCCUCUAUUAGAAACAGCUGGCAAAGAAAGAAUGCUAGACCGAGUAGCAAGCUUGCAGAGAUAGACAAACUGAAAUAGACAAAAAAUUUGCAAGGUUUCAAAUUUUCCUCUGCAUUAGUCCCACUUAGAGAUGUCUGGGAUGCAACUUAUCAUCAUACAAUACCUAGCGGGAAGUUCUAAUCAGGCUUGCUAGGCUAUACAAGGUUGAUUCCAACUCUACGUUCAUAUAUCAGUUCUCUUUGCUGAAAACACCUCCUCUCAGAUGGGGCAAGAUGGCUGUAUUUCUGUGUAUCAUGUGUGCUCAACUGAUCUGAUGGACCAGCCAGCUAAAGGAGAAUUAAUUUUAUUGCCAGCUUUAAAUCACUAAUGUUUCGGAGAAGAUUUUC